rnacentral:lncRNA from 1 species
AUUGCCCUGGAUUUCUGUCCCGUGGCCUCUCCAUGAUGCAUAAGCAGAUGUCCGGUGUGUUGACAUGGCAGCAAAUUGCAGCAGCAAUAAUGCUUUGCAGCCACUACAUCAGACGGGUAAAAAUCUCAUAUCGUUUUUUCAUAAUUGACCUAAUUAUUUUAGGGUCGUUUGGUCAUAAUUGACCUGUCUGCAAAAUUAUUCUCUCCAUUCUCUAAUGUCAGUUCACCACUGUCUGACAGCCCAUUUCAUGCUGUCUUAUUGUACCUUUUUUUGAACUGGUCACUUAAUGCUCUUAUUUUUCUAAACUUUCUUAGGCUUGGAUCUUAUAAUUUCC